CCUACGGGUGGCAGCAGUGAGGAAUAUUGGUCAAUGGACGAGAGUCUGAACCAGCCAAGUAGCGUGAAGGAUGACUGCCCUAUGGGUUGUAAACUUCUUUUAUAUGGGAAUAAAACGUUCCACGUGUGGGAUUUUGUAUGUACCAUAUGAAUAAGGAUCGGCUAACUCCGUGCCAGCAGCCGCGGUAAUACGGAGGAUCCGAGCGUUAACCGGAUUUAUUGGGUUUAAAGGGAGCGUAGGUGGAUGGUUAAGUCAGUUGUGAAAGUUUGCGGCUCAACCGUAAAAUUGCAGUUGAAACUGGCAGUCUUGAGUACAGUAGAGGUGGGCGGAAUUCGUGGUGUAGCGGUGAAAUGCUUAGAUAUCACGAAGAACUCCGAUUGCGAAGGCAGUUCACUGGACUGCAACUGACACUGAGGCUCGAAAGUGUGGGUAUCAAACAGGAUUAGAUACCCUAGUAGUC
rnacentral:rRNA from 1 species